rnacentral:rRNA from 1 species
GAUGAACGCUAGCGAUAGGCUUAACACAUGCAAGUCGAGGGGCAGCACAAGGUAGCUUGCUAUCUGGGUGGCGACCGGCGCACGGGUGCGUAACGCGUAUGCAACUUGCCCUAUACAGGAGGAUAACCCGUCGAAAGACGGACUAAUACUGCGUAUGCUCACAACUUGGCAUCAAGUGGUGAGGAAAGAAAUUCGGUAUAGGAUAGGCAUGCGUCCCAUUAGCUUGUUGGUGAGGUAAUGGCUCACCAAGGCAACGAUGGGUAGGGGAACUGAGAGGUUUAUCCCCCACACUGGUACUGAGACACGGACCAGACUCCUACGGGAGGCAGCAGUGAGGAAUAUUGGUCAAUGGGCGCGAGCCUGAACCAGCCAAGUCGCGUGAAGGAUGACUGUCUUAUGGAUUGUAAACUUCUUUUAUACGGGAAUAACAAGAGUCACGUGUGACUCCCUGCAUGUACCGUAUGAAUAAGCAUCGGCUAACUCCGUG